GGGUAAGUCUCAUACGAUCUGCUCCCUUAUAACUCCCCCAGGACAGGAAUGUAGCAAGGGCAUUAAGGUUGUAGCGAUGCGAUAUGAGUAGCUUACCCUUC
rnacentral:SRP_RNA from 1 species